UUAUGGCCAUAUCACAUUGAAACACUGGUUCCCAUACAGUCAGCAAAGUUAAGCAACAUUGAACAUGGUCAGUAUCUAGAUGGGUGACCAUUUGGGAAUACCAGGUGCUACAA